rnacentral:rRNA from 1 species
GAAGGGGGCUAGCGUUGUUCGGAAUUACUGGGCGUAAAGCGCGUGUAGGCGGUUGCCCAAGUCGGGUGUGAAAGCCUUGAGCUCAACUCAAGAAAUGCACUCGGUACUGGGUGACUAGAGGACCGGAGAGGAUAGUGGAAUUCCCAGUGUAGUGGUGAAAUACGUAGAGAUUGGGAAGAACACCAGUGGCGAAGGCGGCUAUCUGGACGGUUUCUGACGCUAAGACGCGAAAGCGUGGGGAGCAAACAGGAUUAGAUACCCUGGUAGUCCACGCCGUAAACGAUGGGUGCUAGACGUUGGCGAGCUUGCUCGUCAGUGUCGCAGCUAACGCGUUAAGCACCCCGCCUGGGGAGUACGGCCGCAAGGUUGAA